rnacentral:rRNA from 1 species
UACGUAGGGGGCAAGCGUUGUCCGGAUUUAUUGGGCGUAAAGAGCGUGUAGGCGGUUUGGUAGGUCCGCUGUGAAAACUCGAGGCUCAACCUCGAGACGCCGGUGGAAACCAUCAGACUAGAGUCCGGAAGAGGAGAGUGGAAUUCCUGGUGUAGCGGUGAAAUGCGCAGAUAUCAGGAAGAACACCGGUGGCGAAGGCGGUGGGCUGGGCCGGCACUGACGCUGAGGAGCGAAAGCGUGGGGAGCGAACAGG